rnacentral:rRNA from 1 species
GACGAACGCUGGCGGCGUGCCUAAUACAUGCAAGUAGAACGCACAGUUUAUACCGUAGCUUGCUACACCAUAGACUGUGAGUUGCGAACGGGUGAGUAACGCGUAGGUAACCUGCCUGGUAGCGGGGGACAACUAUUGGAAACGAUAGCUAAUACCGCAUAAUAUUGAUUAUUGCAUGAUAAUUGAUUGAAAGAUGCUAUUGCAUCACUACCAGAUGGACCUGCGUUGUAUUAGCUAGUAGGUGAGGUAACGGCUCACCUAGGCGACGAUACAUAGCCGACCUGAGAGGGUGAUCGGCCACACUGGGACUGAGACACGGCCCAGACUCCUACGGGAGGCAGCAGUAGGGAAUCUUCGGCAAUGGACGAAAGUCUGACCGAGCAACGCCGCGUGAGUGAAGAAGGUUUUCGGAUCGUAAAGCUCUGUUGUAAGAGAAGAACGGGUGUGAGAGUGGAAAGUUCACACUGUGACGGUAUCUACCAG